rnacentral:lncRNA from 1 species
GCAGAGCAAAAACAACGUUUCCCAAGCCUGCCCCAAACCAUGGAGCCCAGCUCUGCUCUGACCUGCUUCUUUUCUCAGAGCUCUGCAUCUCAGCACAUUCCUCUCCCUGCCCUACAGCUUAGCUCCAAUACCCCACAGCUCACAUCCUUUUGACCUCACAAGCAUUGUGCAAUCUGCCUAAGAGCCUGUUCCUCCUGCUGCAACUCUAUGCUUUCCUUCUGCACACACUGCUGAACACUGCCAUGUGUUAAAAGGUGGCCCAUGUGUCAGGUGGCGGGGUGAGGAGAGCAGGUUGGCACUGAUCAGGCAUGGGCUGGCAGAGAUCAUGGGUAACUUUGGAUUAGCCAUGUGGAUUAAAAAGGUAACAAUAUUGGCUGAAGAACAUAUGGCUUUAAGUGAAAAAAUAACAAGAGAAUUUGGAGAGGUGGAGUGUGCCUUCUUUUGCUGAACAGAACAGAAGCCCAUUGGUAGAAAGUCGCCUUGCAGCUGCAGAUAGAGAUCUAAGCCUGUGGAGGGCAGCUUGGACAGUCGUCACUAACUCAAAGGUACUGUGCAGUGGGCACAAAACCACAGUGCAGGGGUGGGAAUAAGUGGUGAAACUUGAGGUGCGGUAGAAGAAGGGUCUUUCUUUUAUGGAGGAGGCUUAUAUUUACAGAGAGCAAGUCAGGCUGGAGAAC